rnacentral:lncRNA from 1 species
UUUGCCUUGUAUCAAUGUUGGCAAGCCAAAACGUCCAACUUACUUCCCUAUUGAGGUAAAAUCUUGUAAUAAAAUUCAACUUUUUUAUAUUAGGGAAAAUUGCAGUCGAGGUACCAAACCUUUCGUUUAUUAGCAGAUUUUGCCCAAACAUUUAGUUUGUGUCACCGGAGGUACCAAACCUUUCAAAAAUAUGCACCGGAGGUUCAAAUGGAGGAAACCGUCCGUUUGACCGUUAGUUGACCAAGAAAAGUAAAUGUUGACCAAUUAAAAAGGGUAAAAAGGUAAAAAUUACUUAACCCUAUAAUAAAACAAUUAAAAUAAAUAACUAAAAAAAAUUACUAUUCAUCUUCUUCUUCACCCACCCCACCCCCACCCGCACGCACCCUACCCCACCCCAUCCAAAACAAAAAACAGAAAUUAAACAGCCGCCUUUUUCUUCAACCUCCCCACGCCAUCGCACCCCACCCCAUUGGCUCCUGCCCAGUUAGUUCAGUCCUCAAAUAAAAAUAAAAUAAAAAAUCCUAUUUACCUCAGUCCUCAAAUGCUGGAAGGAGCCUAGACGACGUCUGGAAAUAAAUCUGCUAGUCGGCGGCGGCAGUCCUUGGUUUGGGUUUAGUCAGAAAGAAAUCGGCUAUGGUGUUUGUUUUUUUCCAAUUGGAUCCAAUGGCUCACUAUCUGCAGAAAUCCGAGGAGGAUGAGGGAAGAGAUUUGGGCUAAUUCGGAAUUUGGACCAUUUUCACUGACAAAAAGCAUAAUGAAAUUUGGGUAGUGGAAUCAACUUUCAAUAUAGGAAACAUUGUUCGCACCGUAGAAAAUGAUUGAUUACGAAGAUGGAAAAUUUCUUGUAAGAAAAUGGUUUUUUUACGUUGCUGACCUACUGGUGGCUGGUUUAGGGGUGGGGUGGAGUGGGUGGGGGUGGAGAAGACAACUUUUCUUUAUUUUUUUAGUUUUUUGAUUUUUUUCUUUAUUUUUUUGAUUUUUUUCAAUUUAUUUAAUAUGGUAAUUAUCAAGUUACCAUUUUACCCUUUCCAAUUUAGUUAAAAUAGGUCAAAAUUUACUUUUCUUGGUCAACUAAUGGUCAAACGGACAGUUUCCAUCCAUUUGAACCUCCGGUGCAUAUUUUUGAAAGGUUUGGUACCUCCGAUGGCACAAACUAAAGGUUUGGGUAAAGUCUGUUAAUAAACGAAAGGUUUGGUACCUCGACUGCAAUUUUCCCUUUAUAUUAUGCAUUUCUUCUAGAGGUUUUUUUUUUUUUUUUUACUUAUGGAAGAUAAACACCACUAGUCUCUGGAAAACAGGAGUUUAAUUGGUUUGCUUUUGUCCUUGCAGCUAUGUUCCUUGGUGUCCUUGCAACGGUACACCAAAGCUCUCUCCACCUUUCAGAGAGCUUCCCUUGUGGAGAAGUCACGUCAAAAGCCACAAGAGCGGAUGUCAACUCUGAGCGGCGUACGUUACUAUUUUAGUAGAGUUGUGAUUUUAUGUUGGCUUUGAUUAACUGGGGUUGGGUUGUGGCAGGCUUUGAAAAGUAAUAACUAUGAUUCAGAGCCUGUGCUUCGUUCUUGCGGCAUUUCUAUCUGAAAAGUAACAACUUUGGAAGAGCUUGCAUUGAAAAUUCAUGCUGCUGCUACUCAAAAAGGUAUGUUUUUCAAUAGUUCCUCCCACACCCAUAGGCAAUAAUUUAUGUUGAUCCACCUCUUCAAUUUGCUUGUUUUAUAUUUUCAAUCUGUGUGGUGCAUGCUGUAGAAAAUUCCAAAACACGAGUUGGUGAAGCUGUUACCCCGUCCUUGAUAUGCUUCUGGAGUUUACUUAUGGCGUUCUUUAAAUUUUAUCAGUCUUAUAGAUAUGGUCUUCAAGAUAAACCAGAAUUUACCGAGUCAUUUCCUUCCAGUACUUUUUCUAAACUUG